GAUCCUAUCGUCUAGUGGUUUAGGACACUUGGCUUUCUACCAAGUUAUUGGAGUUCGAAUCUCCAUAGGAUCGCCA
rnacentral:tRNA from 1 species